rnacentral:snoRNA from 1 species
ACCCUCGGAAUUCCUUACCCAUCAGAUCCCAACUUUGGUCUGGGGGGCUCCAAAAGGAGGAAAACUGAAGCGGACUUGGAUUCUUCUGUGACAUACAAGUUAAUUAAAAACAAAG